GCGGCGAGUGGCGGACGGGUGAGUAAUGCGUGGGAAUCUACCUUGUAGUGGGGGAUAACCUGGGGAAACUCGGGCUAAUACCGCAUGACAGAAGACAGAAGAUAGAAGACAGAAGACAGGUGAUUGUGUGACUGUAUCACAAAUUUUGAAAAUUUGUCGCGAAGUGACACAAUGGUCUGUCUUUAGUCCUCUGCCUUCUGUCUUCUGAAAGCGGGGGAUCUUCGGACCUCGUGCUAUAAGAUGAGCCUGCGUCGGAUUAGCUUGUUGGUGGGGUAAUGGCUUACCAAGGCGACGAUCCGUAGCUGGUCUGAGAGGAUGGCCAGCCACACUGGGACUGAGACACGGCCCAGACUCCUACGGGAGGCAGCAGUGGGGAAUAUUGGACAAUGGGGGAAACCCUGAUCCAGCAAUGCCGCGUGUGUGAAGAAGGCCUUCGGGUUGUAAAGCACUUUCGGUGGGGAAGAAAUUCUCAAGGGUAAUAUCUUUGGGCGUUGACGUUACCCACAGAAGAAGCACUGGCUAACUCUGUGCCAGCAGCCGCGGUAAUACAGAGAGUGCAAGCGUUAAUCGGAAUCACUGGGCGUAAAGCGCGCGUAGGUGGAUAUUUAAGUCGGAUGUGAAAGCCCUGGGCUUAACCUAGGAAUUGCACCCGAUACUGGACAUCUUGAGUAUGGUAGAGGGAAGUGGAAUUUCCGGUGUAGUGGUGAAAUGCGUAGAUAUCGGAAAGAACACCAGUGGCGAAGGCGACUUCCUGGACCAAUACUGACACUGAGGCGCGAAAGCGUGGGGAGCAAACAGGAUUAGAGACCCUGGUAGUCCACGCCGUCAACGAUGAGAACUAGCUGUUGGGAAGUUCACUUCUUAGUAGCGAAGUUAACGCGUUAAGUUCUCCGCCUGGGGAGUACGGCCGCAAGGUUAAAACUCAAAGAAAUUGACGGGGGCCCGCACAAGCGGUGGAGCAUGUGGUUUAAUUCGAUGCAACGCGAAAAACCUUACCUACCCUUGACAUCCUCGGAACUUGUCAGAGAUGAUUUGGUGCCUUCGGGAACCGAGUGACAGGUGCUGCAUGGCUGUCGUCAGCUCGUGUCUGAAGAUGUUGGA
rnacentral:rRNA from 1 species